rnacentral:misc_RNA from 1 species
UGCCAGAAAUCAUAGCCUGAAUUUAUCACAAAUAGUGGAGUUUGCAUAGUCUGAGUUACGUAUUGUGGGAAGAAACACAAUUCUGGUUUAUUUUUUGAAGUGCAAGAGGGAGGAAGACUCUUUACUGACCCAUGUAAACCAACUAUUCCACCAAAGAAGUUUUCGAUUUCGAACCCACCAGCAACAUCCUUUCCAUGAAUAAAAUAACCAGCAUCUGAAACACAUUUUACUCUAGCAGUUGCAGGUAGGAGAGAUUUGAAUUUAUCACAAUGCAGAAUAGCAGCCAAUCCACCAGCCGAGCAGCCUGAAAGAAUAGC